ACUGGCAGCAUAUGGAGGUUCCCAGGCUAGGGGUUGAAUCGGAGCUGUAGACACUGGCCUACACUACAGCCCCAGCAACUCCAGCUGCAUCUGUGACCUGCAGCACAGCUUAUGGCAAUGCUGGAUCCUUAACCCACUGAGCAAGGCCAGGGAUCGAACCCUCGUCCUCAUGGAUGCUAGUCAGGUUCAUUAACCACUGAGCCACAUUGGGAACUCCCAUUAAUUAAUUUAUUUAUUGGCCAUGCCAGUAAUUAUCCUUGGAAUGUGAAUUCUCCCUCAAGUUGGUGUGAUGGAAAACUAAAGGGCCCAGGGACAAGGAGUAAGUCUCAGACCAACUCUACCUGAGCUGGGUCUGGUGGGGUACUCUGAAGGUGGACAAUCUGAUUUGUUGGAAAGGGUUUUUUUUUUAGGGGGAACAGAGGCAACACCUGAGGUCUGAGUACUGGGCUAUAAAUACAGGUGAAAUCACAUCAUGAGGAUGCCCUGAUAAGGCCACCUCACUCGUCAUCAUUGAAAAUGGAUACCCAGGCUUGGCGUGACCAUCCUGUUGGCCUGUGAGCCGAGCUCUGUCUCAGGAAGGGUCACGGGAUGUGGUGGUGGGGCUCUCGGGAGGGAGAAUUCCAGUUCAGGGUAAGGCGCAUAACAGAAGUUCUCUUUGAAUUACCAUCACAGAACCUCAGGGCUAAGGCUGGGUUGCAGGUCAGAACCCAUCUCUGAUUUCCUUGGCUUUUUUUGUUUGUUUUGGUUUUUAGGGCCAAACAUGUGGCAUAUGGAAGUUCCCAGGCUAGGGGUCAAAUUGGAGCUACAGCUGUCAGCCGACACCACAGGCACAGCAACGCCAGAUCCGAGCCAAGUCUUCGACCUAUACCACAGCUCACGGCAAAUCCUUAACCCACUGAGCAAGGCCAGAGAUUGAACCCACAUCCUCAUGGAUACUAGUUGGGAUUUUUACCGCUGAGCCACAGUGGGAACUCCCUCCUUGACUUUUAAAUGGGGAAGCUCACCUUUCCUUGCCUCUCCCCUUCUGUUUCUCUGAAAGCUCAAAAUGAGACCCUUAAAAUUCACCAUGGGAAAAGCCACCCAAAGUGAGAGAAUUAUCUGCAAGCAAGACAAAUUUUGGUUCCUGAAUUACAGGAUGUCGAGGAUGGAAUUAAUUCUAUUAAGCUGAAGUGCGUGUCUGCCAUUUCGCUCGGUGGGCUCAUCAAUAGCACAAAUGAUCCAUAAUUAGUGUUUUAAAGGCCAGAUUUCACUCACAGGCAAAUAUCUGAGGGUGCCUGAGAGUCAUUGAAUAGAGAGCGUCUGAAGUUGCCUCCUUGUCUCCACUCUGUGACGGUACAACCUCUCUCAAGGCAAAGUUUGGCUCAGUCUCUUAAACUCAUCACAGAUUCUUCACUGGGAAUGUGGAAAUGAGGGGUCUUUGUUGAAUUCAGUGUUUGAAUUAUAUUACAUUAAAUGUAUGUUCAGUUCUAUGUGAUUGAUGAGGGCAUUUAACAAGAGUAAAAAAUUUUACUUGCUCUGUGUCUCCAGGUAUUUCUAUCUCACAUAUUCCAAAGAAAGAACCAGCUUCUGAGACUCAUGGGAGCUCACCUGAAAGCCCUAGGAAUAUUUUGCCUGGUGGGGCUCCACUCUACCCUGUCAUGUGGAGUGGCUAGAAGUCAGAAGAUGGCCUUUUAUGGCACCGGUUAAUGUAACUGUCUGGCUUGGAGGUCAAGAGUGGACACUGGGACUUUGGGUAGACCUGGGUUCAAAGCCUGAUCUUGCUACUCACUAGUGCUCUGUGACCCUGCAGCACCACCAUGCUCUGAGCUUGACUCACUUUUACCAUCUGCAAAAUGGGACUCAAAGGUGAGUUGGGUCAAGGUCAAAUGAUGACAUGGGGAUUAGACCUGGCCUCCAGACGGGUGUGCUCUGGAUCUGCCAAUAUCUGUGACUAUUGUUCCCUCUGAAUAAGACUGACAGAGAAUGUCCACAUUCUGCUUUUUAUCUU